UUUUUUUUUUUCUUAAUAAAGUUUAAAGUUAUAAUUUUUGAUGUAUGUUAUAUGAUUAAGAAACAAAGUUAGAAUUCAACUUUGAAUUCAAGACAAUAUUGUUUGACCAAAAGAAGACAACAAAAUUAUUUAUCCAUUUAUUUAUUUAUUUAGUAUCCAAUAUUGUAAAGUUAUCAGUGCACAAAUAAUU